AGGAACCAGAGAACUGAAGCCAUCCUAUUUGUCUCCAGCACGGGUGCAGGACAGCUGGCGGUCAGGGCUCAAGGAAGCAUGUCCUAUACCCUAUUCUGGAGAUGAUGGACUUCAGCAAGCAUCAAGGAAGAGAGAGAGUGUACCUGACAUAAGUCCAGGUGAAGAGAGGAAUGCUGAAGUCCCCUCGCUGACAAUCUAGAAACGAAGACAUUACCUUUCUACACUCACAUCUCUUGCUGAAAAUCCUAAAAGGCCAGGAGAUCACUUCACCUACAUCAAGUGCCUGGCUUCUUUGGCUCAGCAUAAUGUCACUCAUGUGAUGGCAAACAACAGGAGUUCCUUCUGUUUUUAAGACUGAAUAGUACGCUGCCCCACCUCUGAACGUCCACUGCAUAAGAGCAACAACCUCGUCAGCUACGUCAUAGAGCCUGGCAUCAGUGUCUGGUUCUAGGAAAGCACUCCAUGCCUGCCAUUGAAUGGACAGAUUCGUAGACGGGUAAAAUGCACUUGAGAAGCCGUCUGUCAAUGAGUUUAUUUCUGCAAGUGACAAGGCCAGAAACUAAAAGGAAAAAAGGCUUGCAGAAGGUCAGGUGGAACUUUUUGGGAAGCAUCGAGAGGUGUGGCCUUGUUGGAGGAGGAGUAUCACCAGGCGUGGGCUUUCAGGCUUCAAAAGCCUGUAUGGCUGCUUCCUGUUUGUGGAUCAGGAUGUGAGUUUUCAGCUGCUGCUCCAGCACCAUGCCUGCCCAACUGAUGACGAACUCCCUACAGCGAUGGUGAUGGACACUAUCUCUCUGCAACUGUUGUAGAAUCCCCAGAACAAUGCACUUCUUCUGGCCUGAGAGAAUGGGACAAAAUGCCUUAUGCCAAAUAUGGAAGCCCAUUUCCCUCUUUGGAGACUGAUUUGGGAAAAGGCAGGUGAUCCCAAUUCUGACCAAUAAGGCCACAGGAGCAGUCGGAGGGUAGAUUCUUCUUAGAGGUCUUUGCUUCUGUUAGCAAAAGCAAUUUGGUAAGUUCCUUCUCCCUGGUAUAUAUGGUGCCGCUUGAGAGCAUGGUUCUUGGAGCUACAGCACCACGUGACCAGACAAGCCAAAGGGCCAAGGGUGAAAUAGUAGAGACAUGAGUAGGGUGGCGGCUUGGUGAGAGGACUUGAAUUGCAAAGCAAUAUGGGAAAAUCUGCUUCUGGACUUUGUAUGGUUUGUGAGCCAAUUAAACACAUCUAUUGCUUUAACCACUGUGUCUUUUAUAUUUCUUGUCACCAGAGGCAUUGUGUGUUAUAGACACAAUUCAAUUUGUGCUGUAAUUUAUUAGUGUUGCACCUGCAGAUUCUAUUUGAAUGAUUUCAGUAUUCCUCGAACUGAGUAAUCUCAGCACUUAGUAAGGCUUCCAGAAAGAAAUGAAAGACUUGUUCAGAAAUACAAACUUCGGAAGUUGCUGAAACAUGAAAAUCAGGAUCCAGGUUCUGUAUGACAUCUGGUUGCAUCACUACCAGUUUGGUCCUGCCUAUGACAAAAGGAUGAAUGAAAAACACUAUGGAGUGUGAUACUACAUAAUAAAAACACAUGGCAUCAUCUGCCAAUAAAUAAAUAUAUAUAUGACCAUUGAGAAUGCUUAGAAGUUAUCACCAUCCACAUGGAGGUCAGUGUUCCUGAGUUAAAUCAUGCAUGCAGCCAUGGAAUAUUUAAAGUGCUUUUGACCUAGAAAACACAGGCCCAUGUUUUUAAGCAUUUAGCAGACAUUUCUUUAACAUCUUCCAUCUACCAGGCAUUUCCCAAUGCAGUAGGGAAAAAAGAUGGGCAGCUAUGAAACCUCUGUCCAGUGAAGAUUCAUGGCACCCAAACAGGAUGAAUAGCCCACGAGAAGACAUCCACAUGUCUCAGGUUCCGUCUGUUAGCAGAGCAUGGCACUGCCACUGUGCUAACUAAGAAAACAAGAUUCUCAGAUAUCCCUCCUUGAUGAAAUGAUGUCCAUGAGAACUUCCCCUGCUCAAUCUUCCUUACCUGAGUUUGUUUGGGGGAGCUACUUUCUGCUGUUAUUACCCUUGCUCCCUAAUAUUCACCCCUUUGCCCAGCUCCAGAGGCAUCUGCUUACCAGACUACCAGAACAGCUACCUCAAGAGAAAAGCAACUUUGAAAACUGGUGGAGUUUUUUGUUUGUUUGUUUGUUUUGUUGUAGUUGUUGUUGUUGUUUGUAUAUGGAUGUUAAGUAGAGCCACGCUUUACUACAAAUGAGGAAAUACAAAUCAAAUACAAAUAAGCCUCAUUCACCUUCUUUCUAACUGAACUCAUCAACAUCAUGGACAAACCAGCCUCAAGGUUACAACUCAGUCCCAUGGAAUGCAAACGCCCAAAGGCAGCAAACUUCGUGCUCUUAAUUUUGCCUCAAGUCUGCCCAAAGUAAACACUGCUGAACCUAGUUUUCCUGUUUCUUUUGGAAAACGUGAGCUUCCUUCUGUCUCCUACACAUCUUCUUUAGACACUUAGACACUUGGACCCUACCUUCUGCUGGUGGCUCCAGCUGUGGUUUUUCUUCUUUGGGAGGCCUAGAAGCCGGAGCCUAACUGUGUGGGACUAAAUCCCAGCUUCUCCACUUACAGAUCUAAGAUUCAGCUGAAUGUCAGUGCGUAUGACUCAGUUUGUGUACAUAGAUGAUGGACUUCACCCACCUUUCCUCCAGGACUUCCUGUUUAAUCAGCUUGUAUCACUGGGCUGACCUCCGUGGUCAUUGCGCACACAGACUCAUGUUUGUGAACCCACAGCUUGUCCACAUGCUACUCAAGACUUGGUCUGCAUCUUGGUUUAUGCUCUCUGUGACAGUUAGGAGACUGUCACCUUGCUAUCUUUGGCCUUUUCUGUACAUUUGUUAUGCUUCAAUGAAACACCUAGAAUUGUUGGCCAGUUUUGUUAAACCUACAGAGCUGGACAAGGCUGACUUUCUCACUCUGGUAUCUUUUUCUUUCUCUAUAGGUCAAAGCGAUCCUGGGAGCCCACAAGAAAUGAUCACUCAGACACAGUUUAUAGCCAAUUGAAAGUCUUUAUUCCUGCUGGCUGGGACUACACUCAGCACUCCUCCUGGUCUUGUUUGGAUUUCUUGGUCUUUGAGGGAAUUCGGAAUUGCUUUAUUAUGCACUACAUCCUCAGAACGCCUUCUCUGGAAAAAUGUACACUUCACCGAAACAAAUUGUGGGCCCUUUACACAGAGAGAAUGGAAGGAAUCGAGAGUGCUGUUGGCUGGAGUGGGUGGGCACAGGGAACCCGCUCUCAUCCACAGACCUACUGGGCACCCCAUCUUCACAAGCCCUGUUGUGACUCUCAGCGCUGUUUGCUUCUUGAGUGUUAUUUGCUGUUUCUUUGGUGCUAAUGACUGCAAAUUGCUAAUGGCUGUGUAAAGCUAAUUGUUUUGCAAGGUGUUUCUCUCUGUCCUGAUUGUUGGGGAGCACACAGUCACAGUUAAGCAGAGACUCAUUAGCGCCUCUGACAUGGUGCUCUUGGGGAAUCCUCACAGGCUGGCGAAUAACCAAGCCUCCACUGACCCAGAGCCAGGAGGCUUGUGCCUGGCUGGCAAAGCAAAGCAGAGGAGAGGGGUCUAGGAAGCAGUUAUAAUGCGGUGCACUUUGGAGGAAGAACCUGAGCAACAGAAAGGCUCCUCUCUGCAGGCAAGUCUCCUAAAAUGAUACCAAUGUACUAAUCGGACCAAGCUGGCAAGGUGCUUUAUGGCUAUUUUUCUUCUGAGGGGAAUAAUAAGACUCAAAGAAUAAAUGAUUUCCCCACAAACUCGUUUAUUCAAGGGACUAGUGUCUAAGUUUCUUGUUUGUUUGAUCUGUUUUUGUUAUCAAGAUAGAAUCUCACUACGUAGCUCAGGCAGAAAGCUAACUCACCAUAUAGCUCAGGCUGGACCAGCUUCCCAAGGAUGAAAUGACUGCUGCCUGUAUCACUCUUCAAGGUCUAGAGACUGGACUCUUACCCACUAAAGAAUAACACUUCUUGGAAACUCAUGGGCCAACCUGAGGGCUUAUCCCCCCCCCUCUCUCUCUCUCUCUCUGUGUGUGUGUGUGUGUGUGUGUGUGUGUGUGUGUGUGUGUGUGUGUAUGCAAGUUCUUGCACACAUGGGAAAAUACUGAUUAAGGUAGAAAAUAUCAGAACACUAGCUUUGAUUCAUUAUAGCCCAUGAUUUUCUCAAGAACACUGGGCUGGUUACAAAGCAGAGAACCAACAAGAGAAGCCUAUACUAAUUGCACUAGUUGAUGAAUAUUCCUUUCUGCUGCAUUCCUGUCUGGAAGGCACAGUAUCUCCACUACUUCCACUGAAGUCCUGUAUUCUGGACAACCCGUGUAAAAACAGCAAGAACUAGGGUUACCUCUCACUGCUCUGUCUGUUGACGUGAGUGCAGCAAUGGAUUCUUUAGCUAAAGUGAGGGGCAAUAAUGCU